UACGGAGGUUGCGAGCGUUGUUCGGAAUUACUGGGCGUAAAGGGAGCGCAGGCGGUUUGGUAAGUCUGAAGUGAAAGCCCGGGGCUCAACCCCGGAAGUGCUUUGGAUACUGCCAAACUGGAGUACGUGAGAGGAGAGCGGAAUUCAGGGUGUAGCGGUGAAAUGCGUAGAUAUCCUGAGGAACACCGGUGGCGAAAGCGGCUCUCUGGCACGAAACUGACGCUGAGGCUCGAAAGCGUGGGUAUCAAACGGG
rnacentral:rRNA from 1 species